rnacentral:rRNA from 1 species
GCAUCGCAGAGGGUGAGAAUCCCGUCUUUGACAUGGACUGCCAGGGCUCAACAGGUGUGCUCUCGAAGAGUCGAGUUGUUUGGGAAUGCAGCUCAAAAUGGGUGGUAAAUGCCAUCUAAAGCUAAAUAUUGGCGAGAGACCGAUAGCGAACAAGUACCGUGAGGGAAAGAUGAAAAGAACUUUGGAAAGAGAGUUAAACAGUACGUGAAAUUGCUGAAAGGGAAACGCUUGAAGUCAGUCGCGUCAGCUGGAAAUCAACCCUGCUUUUGCUGGGCACACUUUCCUGUCUGACGGGUCAGCAUCAGUUCUGGUCGCUGGAUAAAGUCCUUGGGAACGUGGCAUCCUUUGGAUGUGUUAUAGCCCACUGGCGCAUGCAGCGGCUGGGAUUGAGGAACUCAGCACGGCCCUUGCGAGAGGGCGAUUGGAGGGAGACCUCACAACUUACGUGCUUAGGAUGCUGGCAUAAUGGCUUUAAUCGACCCGUCUUGAAACACGGACCAAGGAGUCUAACAUGCCUGCGAGUGUUUGGGUGGUGAAAACUCAUGCGCGCAAUGAAAGUGAUGGUUGAGAUCCCUGUCAUGGGGAGCAUCGACGCCCAGACCAGACCCUUUGCGACGGAUCUGCGGUAGAGCAUGCAUGUUGGGACCCGAAAGAUGGUGAACUAUGCCUGAAUAGGGUGAAGCCAGAGGAAACUCUGGUGGAGGCUCGUAGCGAUUCUGACGUGCAAAUCGAUCGUCAAAUUUGGGUAUAGGGGCGAAAGACUAAUCGAACCAUCUAGUAGCUGGUUCUUGCCGAAGU